GAUCGUGACCUGAGCCAAAGUCAGACGCUUAACCGCCUAGCCACCCAGGACUCCUGCCUUGGUGUGAGUCCCUUUGACUGUGGUUCCACCUGGCCCUCAGGCUUGGUUGGCUGCUUAUUCCUGAUGAACUGCCCCUCUGUUCUGGAUAAUGCCAUUCCUAGCCCUACUAAGCUAAGGACUACUUGUUGCUGAUUGCUAUGCCUUCCAACCACUCUGAAAAUCCCAGUGGCCAGUUUUCCUCUGUCACCCUUUCUAAAGCUGUAACUGUCACCAACCUCCCUAGCUGGCAAGGAGUAUAAAUGUCAUUGUCAGAAAUCACAAUCUAGCUCAAGGAGUAAGGCCAUUUUGGGAAUUUUCUACAUAAUAAAAAUUAAAUCUACUCUUAA